UAACGGCCUACCAAGGCUACGAUGGUUAGCUGGUCUGAGAGGAUGAUCAGCCACACUGGAACUGACACACGGUCCAGACUCCUACGGGAGGCAGCAGUGAGGAAUUUUGCGCAAUGGGGGAAACCCUGACGCAGCAACGCCGCGUGAGUGAUGAAGGCUUUCGGGUCGUAAAGCUCUGUCAAGUGGGAAGAAACUGUCCGAUGUAAAUAUCAUCGGAUACUGACGGUACCACUGAAGGAAGCACCGGCUAACUCCGUGCCAGCAGCCGCGGUAAUACGGGGGGUGCAAGCGUUAUUCGGAAUCAUUGGGCGUAAAGGGCGCGUAGGCGGCCUCUUAAGUCAGAUGUGAAAGCCCGGGGCUUAACCCCGGAAGUGCAUUUGAAACUGAGAAGCUUGAGUAUGGGAGAGGGAAGUGGAAUUCCUGGUGUAGAGGUGAAAUUCGUAGAUAUCAGGAGGAACACCGGUGGCGAAGGCGACUUCCUGGACCAAUACUGACGCUGAGGCGCGAAGGCGUGGGUAGCAAACAGGAUUAGAUACCCUGGUAGUCCACGCAGUAAACGUUGAACACUAGGUGUAGCGGGUAUUGACCCCUGCUGUGCCGCAGUUAACGCAUUAAGUGUUCCGCCUGGGAAGUACGGCCGCAAGGUUAAAACUCAAAGGAAUUGACGGGGGCCCGCACAAGCGGUGGAGCAUGUGGUUUAAUUCGACGCAACGCGAAGAACCUUACCUGGGUUUGACAUCCCGAGAAGUCUCUUGAAAGAGAGAUGUGCCCUUCGGGGAGCUCGGAGACAGGUGCUGCAUGGCUGUCGUCAGCUCGUGUCGUGAGAUGUUGGGUUAAGUCCCGCAACGAGCGCAACCCUUAUCUUUAGUUACCAGCAUUCAGUUGGGGACUCUAAAGAUACUGCCCCGGUUAACGGGGAGGAAGGUGGGGAUGACGUCAAGUCCUCAUGGCCCUUAUACCCAGGGCUACACACGUGCUACAAUGGGCUGUACAAAGGGUCGCGAGCCCGCGAGGGUUAGCUAAUCCCAUAAAGCAGCUCUAAGUUCGGAUUGGAGUCUGCAACUCGACUCCAUGAAGCUGGAAUCGCUAGUAAUCGUGGAUCAGCACGCCACGGUGAAUACGUUCCCGGGCCUUGUACACACCGCCCGUCACACCAUGAGAGUUGGUUGUACCAGAAGUUGUUGGACCAACCCGCAAGGGAGGUAAGCACCUAAGGUAUGGCUGAUGAUUGGGGUGAAGUCGUAACAAGGUA
rnacentral:rRNA from 1 species